rnacentral:rRNA from 1 species
CCGCUCAGAGGUAAACGGGUGGAGUUGAACUGCGAACCCUGAGAAUUCAACUGGUGAGUGUGGUAUGAGCUUGGCAUGAAGGUUGGCUCUGCGGGUCUGCUUAGCUGCAGGUCUUCGCCUUUUGGUGGAGAUGCGCGAUACACUUGUCAAGUGGUGCGCGCUCGUUGAGUUUCUCGGACAUACUUGCCAGUGCACUUUCUCGGGGUGUUCACCACGACCGGCGCCGCUACUUGUCCAAUAUGGUUAAACCGGUCUUGCUUGGUCCCUGUGGCUUUGCUUGAUCGGGAUGGCAGGUAACUCGUUGACUUGUGUGUUGACCUCGGUUGGCAUGCGCUUGGUUUUCGAGUGUAAUCAGCUGACUGUAUUGGUGCUAUGUGGUGCGUCGGAGACGGCGGCUUGUGGUGUGUGCCUGCGUGCCUAUUUGCUGACGGAACCGGGUUUGGUUAUUAUGUUGCCUGUUUUGCAGGCCUGGUGAUGGCUCGGUUUCGCUUGGUGGAUGGGAGCGUGGGUGACACUUAUCAGGGCCUAUAGUCUGUGGUGUUGUGGUAGACUAUCCACCUGACCCGUCUUGAAACACGGACCAAGGAGAGUAACAUGUGCGCGAGUCAUGGGGUGUUACGAAACCCAAAGGCGAAGUGAAAGUAAAGACUUGACUUGUUCGAGUUGAGGUGAGAUCCUGUCGUUUCUCAUGCGCGGUACUUCCAAGCAUUCGAGCGAUGGGCGCAUCACCGGCCCGUCCCAUGGUGUGGUCACUGUCUUCGGAUUGGUGCGUCACCGGGGCGGAGCAUGAGCGCACAUGUUGAGACCCGAAAGAUGGUGAACUAUGCUUGCGCAGGUUGAAGCCAGAGGAAACUCUGGUGGAGGACCGUAGCGAUUCUGACGUGCAAAUCGAUCGUCAAACGUGAGUAUAGGGGCGA